ensembl:processed_transcript Platr32 pluripotency associated transcript 32
UAACUUGUCACUGUGACUUAUCGCUUAUCUCACUAGGCUAAGUGAUUUAUCUGGGUAUCACUUCUUUCUGUAUCUGGCCUUUGUCAAUAGCAGUGAACAAAGAGGAGAAGAGGAAGCAGGGUUCUUCUUGGAGAUGUUGCAGAAGAGGAGGAAGAGGAGGAAGAGGAAGAAGAGGAAGAAGAGGAAGAAGAGGAAGAAGAGGAAGAAGAAGACAAAAAGGUGGCAGAAGAAAGAAAAAGUGGAAGAAAGAAAUAAAAAAGAAACACUUGAAGCAUUUUUAGGGUUGUAAAUCACAGGUUCUUGGAAGGCAAGUAGAUCACAAGUUUUAGACUCACUUAACCUACUGUCUAAAAAAAG